rnacentral:rRNA from 1 species
UACAGGGGGGGCAAGCGUUGUUCGGAAUUACUGGGCGUAAAGGGCUCGUAGGCGGCCAACUAAGUCCGACGUGAAAUCCCCAAGCUUAACUUGGGAACUGCGUCGGAUACUGGAUGGCUUGAAUUCGGGAGAGGGAUGCAGAAUUCCAGGUGUAGCGGUGAAAUGCGUAGAUAUCUGGAGGAAUACCGGUGGCGAAGGCGGCAUCCUGGACCGACAUUGACGCUGAGGAGCGAAAAGCUGAGGGGAGCAAACGGGG